AUUGAACGCUGGCGGCAGGCUUAACACAUGCAAGUCGAACGAUGAUUAUCUAGCUUGCUAGAUAUGAUUAGUGGCGGACGGGUGAGUAACAUUUAGGAAUCUGCCUAGUAGUGGGGGAUAGCUCGGGGAAACUCGAAUUAAUACCGCAUACGACCUACGGGUGAAAGGGGGCGCAAGCUCUUGCUAUUAGAUGAGCCUAAAUCAGAUUAGCUAGUUGGUGGGGUAAAGGCCCACCAAGGCGACGAUCUGUAACUGGUCUGAGAGGAUGAUCAGUCACACCGGAACUGAGACACGGUCCGGACUCCUACGGGAGGCAGCAGUGGGGAAUAUUGGACAAUGGGGGCAACCCUGAUCCAGCCAUGCCGCGUGUGUGAAGAAGGCCUUUUGGUUGUAAAGCACUUUAAGCAGGGAGGAGAGGCUAAUGGUUAAUACCCAUUAGAUUAGACGUUACCUGCAGAAUAAGCACCGGCUAACUCUGUGCCAGCAGCCGCGGUAAUACAGAGGGUGCGAGCGUUAAUCGGAAUUACUGGGCGUAAAGCGAGUGUAGGUGGCUCAUUAAGUCACAUGUGAAAUCCCCGGGCUUAACCUGGGAACUGCAUGUGAUACUGGUGGUGCUAGAAUAUGUGAGAGGGAAGUAGAAUUCCAGGUGUAGCGGUGAAAAUGCGUAGAGAUCUGGAGGAAUACCGAUGGCGAAGGCAGCUUCCUGGCAUAAUAUUGACACUGAGAUUCGAAAGCGUGGGUAGCAAACAGGAUUAGAUACCCUGGUAGUCCACGCCGUAAACGAUGUCUACUAGCCGUUGGGGUCCUUGAGACUUUAGUGGCGCAGUUAACGCGAUAAGUAGACCGCCUGGGGAGUACGGCCGCAAGGUUAAAACUCAAAUGAAUUGACGGGGGCCCGCACAAGCGGUGGAGCAUGUGGUUUAAUUCGAUGCAACGCGAAGAACCUUACCUGGUCUUGACAUAGUGAGAAUCCUGCAGAGAUGCGGGAGUGCCUUCGGGAAUUCACAUACAGGUGCUGCAUGGCUGUCGUCAGCUCGUGUCGUGAGAUGUUGGGUUAAGUCCCGCAACGAGCGCAACCCUUUUCCUUAUUUGCCAGCGGGUUAAGCCGGGAACUUUAAGGAUACUGCCAGUGACAAACUGGAGGAAGGCGGGGACGACGUCAAGUCAUCAUGGCCCUUACGACCAGGGCUACACACGUGCUACAAUGGUAGGUACAGAGGGUUGCUACACAGCGAUGUGAUGCUAAUCUCAAAAAGCCUAUCGUAGUCCGGAUUGGAGUCUGCAACUCGACUCCAUGAAGUCGGAAUCGCUAGUAAUCGCAGAUCAGAAUGCUGCGGUGAAUACGUUCCCGGGCCU
rnacentral:rRNA from 1 species